GCAGCUGUAGAACUACUUUCUCCUUGAGAAGGACGCCUUCUUACAUUCUUUUUCCGGUCUUUCAACAGCUGACUCUCCAAAGUUUCAAUAAAUAUUUUAAACCUCCGUGGUUUCAAAUGAAGCUUUGAGGCUUUACAGCUAUAUUUUUCCAGUAAAGACCACCAUCGCAACAUUGCAGCAUUAGUAUCCUUGGAAUUUUUGGCAUCAAGACAAA
rnacentral:misc_RNA from 1 species